AAGCUCGUAGUUGAAUUUCGGGAUCUUACGCUGGUCGUGCCUUCGGUAUGCACUGGUUUCACUGAUUCCUCCCUUCUGAAGAACCGUAAUGCCAUUCAGUUGGUGUGGCGGGGAAUCAGGAUUGUUACUUUCAAAAAAUUAGAGUGUUUAAAGCAGGCUCGCGCUUGAAUACAUUAGCAUGGAAUAAUGAAAUAGGACGUUUGAUCCUAUUUUGUUGGUUUCUAGGAUUGACGUAAUGAUUAAUAGGGAUAGUUGGGGCAUUAGUAUUCAAUUGUCAGAGGUGAAAUUCUUGGAUUUAUUGAAGACUAACUACUGCGAAAGCAUUUGCCAAGGAUGUUUUCAUUAAUCAAGAACGAAAGUUAGGGGAUCGAAGACGAUCAGAUACCGUCGUAGUCUUAACCAUAAACUAUGCCGACUAGGGAUCGGAUGAUGUUAAUUUUUUAAUGACUCAUUCGGCGCCUUACGGGAAACCAAAGUGUUUGGGUUCCGGGGGGAGUAUGGUCGCAAGGCUGAAACUUAAAGGAAUUGACGGAAGGGCACCACCAGGGGUGGAGCCUGCGGCUUAAUUUGACUCAACACGGGGAAA
rnacentral:rRNA from 1 species